rnacentral:tRNA from 1 species
GCCCUGUGGUGUUUUAACGCUAGAGUGCAAAUCUAGAGACGAACCCCUAAAGGCGUUCCAGGGCU